UACGGGGGGGGCAAGCGUUGUUCGGAAUUACUGGGCGGAAAGGGCUCGUAGGUGGCCAACUAAGUCAGACGUGAAAUCCCUCGGCUUAACCGGGGAACUGCGUCUGAUACUGGAUGGCUUGAGGUUGGGAGAGGGAUGCGGAAUUCCAGGUGUAGCGGUGAAAUGCGUAGAUAUCUGGAGGAACACCGGUGGCGAAGGCGGCAUCCUGGACCAAUUCUGACGCUGAGGAGCGAAAGCCAGGGGAGCAAACGGG
rnacentral:rRNA from 1 species